rnacentral:lncRNA from 1 species
AGUCGCUGCCAGAGUCAGUGUGGCCUGCGACGCUGCCCGAGUCGUAUGUGAGGUGUGGUCCUGUAGGUCACCCUUCGCGCCUUCUUAUUGGUCUCACCCUUACGUGGAACGCUGAGUGGCACUCACGGCCGCCGAGGGUGAGCUGCCUCAAGUGCCCAGUGCUUUUCCUCGCCGCCCCGAGCGAGUUGCGAGGCGCGGGAAGUGAGAGAGAGAGUGACCGCGGAGUGCCAGCCCUUACUCUUUAAAUUUUUUUGGUGAUUAAGAGCGAGUAAACCGCUAACAGAAAGAGAGAGAGAGAUAGAGAGAUAGAGAGAGGGAGAUAAUCCCUGAGAAGCUCCUGAGCAUCGCCUCCGGUUGCUGUGGCCAAGGCCGAGGAACCGUUCCCGCUUGUGAGCCACUCGAAGGGAGGAGAGAAGUGUGGCUCUAGGGGUCCCGUGGCCCUCCCCAAGUGGCACCCAAUCUCACCUGGGGAGCGGUGCCGCCCUCAGCUAGCCCUGCUCAUCUGACCUGGCUUCGUAGCUCCUCCGCCAGGUUGGCUCGGAGGUCAAACAAGGUCAAGACGAGAGAGAUUGCUUAGUAUUUUUCCCCUCCGGAUCGUCAGCGCAGACCAACAGAGGCGUCUUCUGCAGUGGCUGUCGCUUCCCACUCCCUUUUACAUGUGUCAUUUCGAUCUCAAAAUAAACGUUUCCGUGUAGAACUCUUUUCAAAACUAAUCUAUCGAUCAAUGACUAAUUCACAUCGACACGAUUUUUAAACUAAAACUUUAUAUUACAGCUUGUUUGUACCAGAGACCGACCUGCCUUUAACGUUAAACUACUGCUAGACACGAAUAACAAUUUAGAAAAAAAAAAAAAAAGAAUUUGAAAGAAUCUCCCAAAGUGACGUCACCGUGAGAGCCACUGGGUUGGCUCGUGCUAUCUCCCCAGCAGGUUCUGGCUCUCCUGCAGGGAGCUUGCGUAAAGAAUAAGACCUUUUUUAUUUUUAUACCUUUGCAAUAGAGUCCAGGAGAGGGUAUCUGAAGGUAGUUCCCUCAUAGUUCCCGAGUCAUAAAUGUAAAAAUAAUAAUAAUAAUAAUAAUAGUAAAUAAAUAAUAGAUAUAUCAAUAAUAACAAAAGCUAAGAAUCGGUCUUCAACUACAAAGCGUUAUCUAUCUAUCUAUAUAUAAAAAAACAACAACAACAACAACCAAGGUUCUCGGUUUUAGCUUUACUCAAGGAGUCUCCUCGUCCUCUUCGGCUCGUCUUGACCCUUCGAAGUAGCAGCAGAGAGCAGUUCGUAAGCAGACUCCGAGGCCUAGGUCGCCAGCGGCAAGCAGAAGCAGUCAUGGGGUCUCGACCACCGCAUCACACAAAUGAAUGAUUAAGAAGGAUAGGAAGGAAAGAAAAUAUAAAGAGUAUGUAUUAAUAAAUAAUUCAUAAAAGCAUCACAUAGAGAAUGAGCAAGUGACGAGGCCAAAAUAGGGAAAAAAAUAAAAAUUGGGAGAGAGAGAAAAAAAAAGAGAAUAGAUUAGAAAUUAGAAGAAAAAAAAUAAUA